AUGUGCAUUUAUUUGUUUAUCAAUUUAUUUAGAAAACAGAAAAAUAAAUAACAAAAAUAAUUUUUAUAAAAAAAGCAUUAAACAAAGAGCUGUUGAUAAAGAGCUACAGCGGGGUUUAAUAAGUGUACUAAAAAUUUUAGAACAGCUCAGUUUUUUUUUAAGUUUGCUUUAAGAAAAGAAAAAAAACAAAAUUUUGUUUUUAAAAUUGUUUCCGAGUUAAAUGAUGAAAUUUUACAAAUCUAUUUGCGUCAACUGUUUUAAAAAAUAAUAAAAUUUAUAAAAAAUUAUAAAGAAAAUUUUUAAAAAAAAUUAAAAACAAUACGCAGCAUAGAUGGAAAAAGUUCUUCACAAGUUUAUGGAAAAAAAUGUGCCAAAUAAAUAUAAACAUAAAACAAAUUAUUUUAAAUUAUUUAACAAAAAUCUCAAAAUGUAAAUGCAAAAUAAACAAUUUACAUCGAAAACACAUCGUUUGAAUUCGUUCAGAUAUCAAUUCAUCUCAAAUAUAAUAAAAAUGAAAUUUUAAAAGAUACCAUGCGAUGUGAUAGAGGAAUUCGGAAAACAAUAAACAAUUCAGCAUAACUCAAUCCAUUAGAAAUGUAUUGCAUUUAUCUCUUGGCCUUGUUUUUGAUAAAUUUUUGUGUUGGUCUGUGUAAUUCAUUAAUAGUUUUAGUACUGAUUUGGAUAAGGUUUACAUGUUUUUAAAAUUUUUCCUAGAACAAGUUCCGAGAGUAAAAAAAAAAUCGAAAUAAUAUCAUUGAUUAAAGGACUGGAUCAGAAUCACCGCUCGUAAUGUUCUAAAUUUAAUAUGGAAUAAUUAUACUUUAGAAAAAUUUAGAUAUCGAAAUUGGUUUUGGUGUGUGAACUCUACAAAUAUUUCACAGAACUAGUUCCGAAGGAGAAAAUAUCAAACGCAAAUCAGUGGUUCUACUUUAUGUUAAAUCCUCACAUUUGACCAGCGUUUUAUUUGGCUACUUCCAGUAUGAGUUUUGAACAUCAGUUAACAUUCUAUUGAAUCCAAUGCAUCAUAAAAAUAAUAUUGUUUGCAUAAAUAUAAAACUAUUUGAAUUGAUAAAAAUAAAAACAUAAAUAUUGCAAUUUCUGUUAAUAACGAUUGCCACACCAUCUAUAUGUCAGUAAGCAAAGAAAGCAGCGCCAUCUACAUGUUAAUAUAUAUUCAAAAUAUACCAACCACCGUGUGCUAAUGAACUUAGCGAAGACGACAACCAGCUACAUAUUAUAUACCGCCUGAAAAUAUAUUAAACUUUUUAUAAAAUAAAGUACAUUUAUGUUUCACAGUUUUAUAUUCUAGUGCUUAUAACUCGAAAUCUAGCCAAGAUAUUUAGAUGAAACUUUCUCAUUGUAUUAGCACGAUAUUGCACUAUAAUUUACAAUAAAAUUUUUCCCACUUAAGUGACAA